UUGAUAUCUAUCUGUCUGUCUGUCCAUUUGUCCGUCUUUCUAUUAUCUUUCUAUUUCCCCGCCUCUUUCAAUACCCGUUUUACAUUUAUUUUCCUUUUCUCGUAGAAUCUUUCAAAACAAACUUAAUUCGCCUUCAAUAACACAUUACUAAGUAAAUGUUUAGUUUUCUCACUCUUUAAUUUCUAUUUUUUCUCUUUCCUUUCCUAUCUAUCUAUCUAUCUGUCUGUCUGUCUGUCUGCCUGCCAGCCAAGUCCACGCGUAUUCGUGCGUGUACGGUCACAAACAUAAUAGAUGUAAACAUUUAAUAAAUGAACCUUUAUGCACGCAUUUGUGUGUGCGCGUGUGUAUGUAUAUAAACAUGUAGAGUACUAUUAGCACAAUCACUUGCAUUUAAUCGGACGCAUAUAUGCGCAUACGCAAUAUAAAAUCUCUUCCAGAUACACGCACAUAUGCAUAAUAAUUGUUAUGCAUGUAAUGUCUCCUCUGUUGUGUUAAGCGAGUAGGUGAUUCACCAUGCAUUCAUCCGUGCAUGUGAAGAGGAGUACUGGACAAAGAUUAAAUUCAAUUCAUCGAAAUAUUAUAGAUGUUGGAUGCUUGCAUUGUUCUCAUUUUGGUGUCUUUGCUGUUUGUCAACGAUCCUACUAAUGGUCAUUGGUCAUUUCAUUGUGACCAGAGAAAAUCUCAAGAUGAAAAUCAACCAAAAGACAGCGAAUAAAAAUGUUUCUGUUUUCCAUCGAAAGCUAUUUCUUUUAUCUUUAGGAGCAUGUUUCAUUGCUCUUGUGAAGAUCCCAAUUUUUUCACAAUGGUUGUUUGAUUUCAAAAAUGGAGAAAUAAAGAAUAGCAAUGGGUGGAAUGUUGGUGAUGAGGAGGCUCUACGCCGAUUCAGUAUUUCUUUUUGUGAUAUUGAUAGAAAAUCAAUUUUGGAUAUAACAAGCAAAGAAUUUGAACACCAGUAUAGAUUAAGGAAACCAUUAAUACUGACAUUUCAUAAUGGUGCUAAGGAUUGGAUUAACAGUAGCAUGUGGUCUCGUUCAGAGCUUAAAAAAAAAUAUGGGCAAUGGCUUCUUUUGGUUGGAAAUGCCCGAGAAAUUGUCCGACAUGGUGGUAAUGGACAUAUUCAAACCUCAGUAGAGGACUUUUUGGAUGAUAAAAUGCAGCAAACUAAUCUUCAAGGUGAACCUUUGUAUGUGUUUGACCGAUAUUUUUACCAAGAUUCUGAUCUCCCUUCUUCUCUAAAAUUUCCAAAAUUAUUAAAAUUCAAGGAACACUUGCAUGAUAGUUUAUUUUUCCUUGGAUCAACUGGCACUGGGGUAACUUUUCAUAAACAUGCUGAUGCUUGGAAUGCUGUUGUUUUUGGAAAGAAAAGAUGGUUUCUUUAUCCACCUAAGAAAGCACCACCUGGAGGAAUUCCAUUUGGCUUUACAAUUCUGGAAUGGUUUGAUACAAUUUACCCAACUUUGGAUGAAAGCAAUAAACCUAUAGAGUGCAUUCAAGAAGCUGGAGAAAUCCUUUAUUUGCCUGAGUCCUAUUACCACAGUACACUCAAUAUUGGUGACACAGUAGCAAUUGGGAUCCAGAAGAAAGAACCAGCCACUGAAAUUGAAAAAUUAUUUUAUGAAGAAUUGAAAUAUCACUCACAGAUUCUAGAAGUCAAGAAUCAGAGACUAAAUUCAACUGAAAAAGAGUUUGUCAUCAAUAAACAAACACAGAUUCAGGAAUCUCUUCUCAAACUACUUCCUGGUAAUACUGAAGUUCACUUGAAACUUUCUGAGAUCUAUUCUCUGGCUGGAAGAUUUAAUGAAGCCUUUAAACACAGCACCAAAGCUAUGGAGCUUGAUCCUUUAUUUGUUGUAGCUUAUCUUACUAUUGCUAACCAAUUUUUUAUGCUGGGAAGAAAUACCAAAGCUGAGGAAAUGUUUCAGAAGGCUAUGGUUAUAAACCCUAAACUUUGGGAUGUCUAUGCACAGUAUGGAAGUUUUCUUGCAAAUACACAUCACACUAAACAGGCCAUUGAAAUUUUCCAGAAGAGAGGCCACUUACUAGAGAAGCCAUAGGCCAGCAGGUUUGGAGUCUGGGGAAACGCUUUAAAGCUAAGCAUUUCAUGGAUGUGAAACCCAAGGGCAUUGAACUGGAACCAAAUAUGACUGCUUUCUGGUACCAUUUGAUGAUGGCUCAGAUUCAACUUGGAGAUACCAAAGGGGCUAAGAUAUCCUCACAACAAAUGGAACGAUUAAACUCUCAGCAUUGAAAAA